UACGUAGGAUGCAAGCGUUGUCCGGAUUUAUUGGGUUUAAAGGGUGCGUAGGCGGCUUAUUAAGUUAGUGGUGAAAACGUACGCCUUAACCGGAUACCCGCCAUUGAUACUGAUAGACUUGAGUGCGACAGAGGGUGUUGGAAUGUGUGGUGUAGCGGUGAAAUGCUUAGAUAUCACGCAGAACACCAAUUGCGAAGGCAGAUGCCUAUGUCGUAACUGACGCUGAGGCACGAAAGCGUGGGGAGCAAACAGG
rnacentral:rRNA from 1 species